GCCUGCCCCCUGUAGGCUGUGUGCGUCAUCGCUCUGUUAUUUUAAGGUGUUUUGAGUCCGAUUUCUUAACACUGCGUAUAAUUUUUGCAACCGUCACUACAUGUAAAGUUUAACUCCUGUUAAAAAGACAAUUUUUCAACUAUUGAUUUGAAACGACGUUCGAUUUUUUUCUUAAUGACUUUUUCUCAUUUGAAUCAGAUUUAUGAUCUGGACUUUUGAACUGUGAACAAUCAAAACUGUUUAGUAAAAAAAUAUAUAAUUUGGUUCUUUAACAAUUCUUUAUUUGUAUUACAUUUUUCUCUGAAUUUCCAACAGUCCGUCAGACCUUUCUACAUUUUUUGGUUGAACUCAUUUAGCCGUUAUGUUCUUUGUACCUUCCACCUGGGCUAAAGGCUAAGCUACGGCUAGGCUAAGCUAAGGUUAAGCUAAGGAACAAAAAUGUUGCCUACACUCAUGUUGCGUCUUUGCUUUGUACCAAACAGUACUUUUAGAAAAAAAAAGUUUUUUUUAAAGUAUAGAAUAGAUUGUUUUCUGCGGUUCAACAAACUCGUUGCUUUUGUAACUUUUGCCAAAGUCAAGCCAGGUGACGAGUAUGACAAACAGUACCAGCCAAAGUUCCAGUUAUCUGAUGUAGUACCGUUUUCUGACCAAGGUGUUUUUGAAAGACUUUUGAAAUUUGACCACAAAAAGUUCUCACAGCAGCUGAACCCGGUCUGGCAUUAGCUGGAAAGUAUUUUGAGUUAUUAGCAGGCAUUUAUUUUAUUUUAUUUUUUUUUUCAAAUAUUUUUCUUCAACUUGAUUUUUUUUUCUGACUGAUGAUGUAAAAACGUGUGAAACCAAACAUCUCGUCAUCUUUCAGGAAUCUGUGGACGCUUUAUCUCUCAUAUAACAUAUAUCGCCAUCAUCUGGUCGCCAUCAGGAUUAAAAAAAGAAAAAAAAGAAGCUCCGACUCGGUUCAGUAUCUCGAGCAACAUCCAGAACCAGACCUGUCCAGGAUAUUAAAACCACACGUAUCUUUUUUUUUUUUUUUUUUUUAGAUAAGAUUCUAAGGCUCAGGUCGGUUCUGACAGACUUACGAUCAAACGAUAAUGACGCAGAACCGUUUUUCCUCUCAGUGUUCUUGGAACCGAGUCCUUUUUUAAAAUAUCAGAUUUAUUUGUCUUUAACAUCGUGUCCUUACUGUGUUUUUUUAUGUUAUUUUGGAAGAACAUAACAACCAUGUUUUUAAAUCCUUGUCUUUACAUUGUGCCUACAGUAAAUUCACCUUUUUAAUAUUUAAUGUGACGCAGAGAUUUUUUGCUACUGGUUGUUCAACUGUCGAAAUGGUUUACGUUUGUUUCCUUAUCUUAAAAACAAAACUUUUUUAUUCGAGAGUUUCUGUUUUUGUAACUUUUGAGAAAAACUAGUUCACAUUUCAAUUGUAGUAAAAUUUUUGCUUUUACCAGAAAACCACGUUUCAGAAAAGUGUGUUACAUGUGUGUAAAUAUGACGUGUACAUAGUGUACAUGGAAAGCCUCUAGGAAGAGUCAACCUUUGAGAUAAUAAAUCCACCUUAAAUAAC